rnacentral:rRNA from 1 species
UACGUAGGGACCAAGCGUUGUUCGGAUUUACUGGGCGUAAAGCGCACGUAGGCGGAUCGUUAAGUCGGGGGUGAAAUCCUGGAGCUCAACUCCAGAACUGCCUUCGAUACUGGCGAUCUUGAGUCCGGAAGAGGUGAGUGGAACUCCUAGUGUAGAGGUGGAAUUCGUAGAUAUUAGGAAGAACACCAGUGGCGGAGGCGGCUCACUGGCUCGUAUCUGACGCUCAGGCGCGACAGCGUGGGGAUCAAACAGG